GACGAACGCUGGCGGCGUGCUUAACACAUGCAAGUCGAACGGAAAGGCCCUGCUUUUGUGGGGUGCUCGAGUGGCGAACGGGUGAGUAACACGUGAGUAACCUGCCCUUGACUUUGGGAUAACUUCAGGAAACUGGGGCUAAUACCGGAUAGGAGCUCCUGCUGCAUGGUGGGGGUUGGAAAGUUUCGGCGGUUGGGGAUGGACUCGCGGCUUAUCAGCUUGUUGGUGGGGUAGUUGCUUACCAAGGCUUUGACGGGUAGCCGGCCUGAGAGGGUGACCGGCCACAUUGGGACUGAGAUACGGCCCAGACUCCUACGGGAGGCAGCAGUGGGGAAUAUUGCACAAUGGGCGGAAGCCUGAUGCAGCAACGCCGCGUGCGGGAUGACGGCCUUCGGGUUGUAAACCGCUUUCGCCUGUGACGAAGCGUGAGUGACGGUAAUGGGUAAAGAAGCACCGGCUAACUACGU
rnacentral:rRNA from 1 species